rnacentral:rRNA from 1 species
UACGGAGGGUGCGAGCGUUGUCCGGAAUCACUGGGCGUAAAGGGCGCGUAGGCGGCGCGGGUAGUCAUCGGUGAAAGUUCAGGGCUCAACUCUGAAUCGGCCGGUGAUACUCCCGUGCUCGAGCACUGUAGAGGCAGGUGGAAUUCCGGGUGUAGCGGUGGAAUGCGUAGAGAUCCCCAAGAACACCAGUUGCGAAGGCGGCCGACUGGACACAUAUUGACGCUGAGGCUCGAAAGCAUGGGGAGCAAACAGG